CCGAGGUGGGUCACUGUCACGGACGCUCAAGCAGGCGGAGAUUGAAGGGCAAAGGCCGAGUUGCCAAAUCUCUUCCUUUCCACGGCUGAGAAGCUAGCAGUGGUCUUCCAAUGACCACGUUCACCUCCUUUCCAAACCCUCUCACCAACCCUCUUCCUCAUUCCUAAGGUCUCCGUAAAUCUAUCAUCGCCAACGUUCCUCUUCUUCAUGAACCCAUUUCACCGCCGCAACGGAAAUGUUAAAACCCCUCCUCCAAUCCCCUUCCUUCCUGGAAAGCCAUUUCCAUUUGCUCUUUUUUUCUUCAAAAUCUAACUACUCUACGAGUAAAUCCCACUUCUCCAACUUAAUAUCCAAAGUUCUUGACCUUCUAUGUGGCGAUCCUCACUGGCCUAGAAACCCUGAGCUCAAUUGUUUAGCCUCUGCGCUUAGACCCCAUCAUGUUUCCGAAAUUAUCAAUACCCACAAGAAUACAGACACUGCCCUCCACUUCUUUUAUUGGAUUUCCAGGAGGCAUUUUUACAAACAUGACAUGGGCUGUUUUGUAUCCAUGCUAAAUAGGCUCGUGAGGGAUCGAAUCUUUGCUCCUGCCGAUCAUGUUAGGAUUUUGAUGAUCAAAUCUUGUAGAAACGAGGAAGAGCUUAAAAGGGUAAUUGAAUACUUGAAUGGAAUUACUGCUAAUGGUGUCUUUGGCUUUACUUUGUACAGCUUUAAUACUCUUUUGCUUCAGUUGGGCAAGUUCGGCUUGGUCACUUUAGCUCAAAAUGUUUAUACUCAACUUUUGAGUAGUGGAGUUAAGCCCAGUUUAUUGACAUUGAAUACUAUGAUUAAUAUUUUUUGCAAGGAAGGAAAGGUUCAAGAGGCUAUGUUGGUUUUAAAUAAGAUUUUUCAGUUUGACUUGUGCCCCGAUGUUUUUACGUAUACUUCAUUGAUUCUUGGGCAUUGUAGGAAUCGCAAUUUGGAUAAAGCUUUUGAGGUUUUUGAUUGGAUGGUUAAGGAUGGUUGUGAUCCUAAUUCAGUCACAUAUUCAACUCUGAUAAAUGCGUUAUGCAAUGAAGGGAGUAUUGGUGAAGCAAUGAACAUGCUUGAAGAAAUGACUGAGAAAGGGAUUGAACCAACAGUGUAUACAUAUACAGUGCCAAUUAGUUCUUUGUGUGAGGUUGGGCGUGUGGACGAGGCCAUUAGCCUUGUGAGAAGUAUGAGGAAGAGGGGCUGUAGCCCAAAUGUGCAAACAUAUACAGCACUUAUUAGUGGGUCGUUUCAUGGAGGGAAAAUGGAAGUGGCAAUAGGGCUGUACCACAGAAUGCUGAGGGAAGGUUUGGUUCCAAACACAGUUACAUAUAAUGCGUUGAUAAAUGAACUGUGUUCAGAAGGAAGAUUUGAAAUUGCUUUGAAGAUUUUUUAUUGGAUGGAGGGACAAGGUACCUUGGCAAAUGCACAAACAUACAAUCAAAUUAUAAAAGGGUUGUUCACCAUGGAUGAUAUUGAGAGGGCAAUGAUUGUUUUUAAUAAAAUGCUUAAGGAUGGGCCAUCUCCAAAUGUGGUGACAUAUAAUACGCUCAUUGUUGAAAAUCUCAAACGGGGGUAUCUGAACAAUGCUAUGAGAUUUUUGGAUAUGAUGAAGGAGAGUGGUUGUGAACCUGAUGAGAGGACUUAUUGUGAACUUACUUCAGGCUUUUCCAAGGCAGGGAAAUUGGACUCUGCUACUACUAUUUUCUGUGAGAUGCUUGAAC
rnacentral:misc_RNA from 1 species